rnacentral:rRNA from 1 species
AGGACGAACGCUGGCGGCAGGCCUAAUACAUGCAAGUCGAGCGGGAGCCUCCUUCGGGAAGGCGAGAGCGGCGGACGGGUGCGGAGCGCGUAUGCGACCCACCCCUGCCAGCCGUACAGCCGGUGGAAACGCCGGGUGAUGCGGCAUGCACCCCGGGCGGGGCAUCCCAUCCGGGGCAAAGCGGAGACGCGGGCGGGGACGGGCAUGCGUCCCAUUAGCUGGUUGGCGGGGCGACGGCCCACCAAGGCGACGAUGGGUAGGGGGUCUGAGAGGACGGCCCCCCACACUGGCACUGAGACACGGGCCAGACUCCUGCGGGAGGCAGCAGUAGGGGAUAUUGGUCAAUGGGCGGAAGCCUGAACCAGCCAUGCCGCGUGAGGGAAUGAGGCCCUACGGGUCGUGAACCUCUUUUGACCGGGGACAAGGGCGCGCACGGGAUGCGCGCGUGAGGGUACCGGUGGAAUAAGCAUCGGCUAACUCCGUGCCAGCCGCGGC